UACGAAGGGGGCUAGCGUUGCUCGGAAUCACUGGGCGUAAAGGCGCGUAGGCGGCCUGAUAAGUCGGGGGUGAAAGCCUGUGGCUCAACCACAGAAUUGCCUUCGAUACUGUUGGGCUUGAGACCGGAAGAGGUAAGUGGAACUGCGAGUGUAGAGGUGAAAUUCGUAGAUAUUCGCAAGAACACCAGUGGCGAAGGCGGCUCACUGGCCCGGUACUGACGCUGAGGUGCGAAAGCGUGGGGAGCAAACAGGG
rnacentral:rRNA from 1 species